AGUUGAUUAUGGCUCAGGACGAACGCUGGCGGCGUGCCUAACACAUGCAAGUCGAGCGAGGAGAUCCUCGGGAUGAUCCUAGCGGCGGACGGGUGAGUAACACGUGGGCAACCUGCCUCAUAGAGAGGAAUAGCCUUCCGAAAGGGAGAUUAAUACCUCAUAACAUUGCAGUUUCGCAUGGAACAGCAAUUAAAGGAGUAAUCCGCUAUGAGAUGGGCCCGCGGCGCAUUAGCUAGUUGGUGAGGUAACGGCUCACCAAGGCGACGAUGCGUAGCCGACCUGAGAGGGUGAUCGGCCACAUUGGGACUGAGACACGGCCCAGACUCCUACGGGAGGCAGCAGGUGGGGAAUAUUGCACAAUGGGGGAAACCCUGAUGCAGCAACGCCGCGUGAGUGAUGACGGCCUUCGGGUUGUAAAGCUCUGUCUUCAGGGACGAUAAUGACGGUACCUGAGGAGGAAGCCACGGCUAACUACGUGCCAGCCGCCGC
rnacentral:rRNA from 1 species